UGUAGCUCCCACUCUAAGGAGAAGGCAGCCUGAGUGAAACUCGGCGUCGCAGCUUCCUUGCGUUCCGCCCCUAUAGGAGGAUUUGCCAGAUGGACUACCCUUGCAAAGGAUGAAAGAUUUGAAGGUGACCUAUGCAUUCAGGAAGCAGUGAAAAGUUCUGUUUGGCGAAGGCAAAGGCAGACCCAGCCACUUCCUCUUUCUGCUGAGGACAGCAGAAGUUGAAUGAGAGACGAGUUCCCCAGAUGUUGCAACACCCAGGAACAAGAGGGCAAGUAACAGAUGGGUGUUUGCAGGCGGGACAGUCCCCCAGGGCGAGGGGGGGGCAGGGCCUUGGAGAGGCCUUUGCUCAUAGGGCAGCUGCCUUCCAAGUGCCCUAUGAAGCCUCACCAUCAGCCUGAAGUCGAAUCCCCCGUGUCAAACAGAAGGAUGCGAGCAGGAGGAAAGAGGCUCAGGCAAGGGUGGAGCUGGGGUGGGGGAUGAUGGGAGACGGACCCCCUGGCCCAGGGUCCUGCUGCGUGAGCCAGGGUUCCACCAAUCCUCUACUCACACUCAGCCCCCAGCCAGUCUAAUCUUACAGGUGAAGCGACCUGCCAACCUAGCAGGGGCAGGGAGCCAGCUGGCUUUCGCUCCGCCUCCAGGCCAUACUCUGCUGCUCUGUUGAUCUCCCUGAUGUCGUGGUCUGGGCACGUGGGCCAGAAGAAGAAUUUCCAGAUUCAAGACAAGGUGAAGAACAGACACGCUUAUUGAAGCAAGAGGCGAUGUGAACACAGCAGGCUGACUUCCUGAUAAUCAGACAGAGCUGACACUGAGUGUGGGAUCAAGUCUGUUUUUAUCGCCCAGGGAGCAGAGAGGGCUCAGGAUACACCUGCUGGUUGGUUGGGGAAAGAGGGGUCUUAUGAUCCCCUUGCUGGUUGGGGGCCUCUAGAAGCAGGGCGAGGAAUGGACCACACGCCUUUCCUACAGGGGGCAAGGAGUAGGCCAGGCUGUUCAAGGUGGGGAGGGGGCAUUACAUAGAGAGGGGUGGGCAACAAGGGUCUGGUAAUGCUGGCCCUGGCCAGAGGCUUUGAGUUCCAUUUCCUUGAAGAGGCGUUGAAACCCAAAGCCUGGCAGGGAUGGUCCGUCCGUGGCACUCAGCCCUCCCGCGGCUCGUUUUUCAUGUGAUCAGCGCUAGGAGGCCCCCCUCCCCACUCCCCCCGUUCCUGGACAGCCAGGCCCCUCUGUGCCCCCAGAGCACACGGUCUUCUCGUCCUCUCCUCCCUCCACACCCACCUCGCCCCUUUUGCCCAGGAAAGACCUGCUCCUUCUUGAAGGAGUUACUCCAGGAUCUCCACCUCCAGGAAGCCCACCCCUCUUACCCCCGCAUCAUUCCUCCCUUACACGGCACACCUGCUUGGGGGGCAGGAUUCCUUCUUGAUCCAAAUCCCAUGGCUCAGUGCCCUUCACACACCUGAACCAAGUCAAGUGGGCAUUUAGUUAAGAUGCAGAUUCUUAGGUCUGGGAUGGGGCCCCAAGUGCUGCCUUUCCCACCAUCCCCGGGUGAAGCCCAAGGGUGUUCACAAAACCACACUUGAGGGGCAAGGACCUGGGCCCUCCUGUACUUCUGAGACCCCGAAUCACAUCAAGCCCUGCUCUGAAUUACUGAGGGGUCGUUUGACGCCAAUGCCUUGAUGCCGAACAGCCGUGCCCCGCAAGAACCCGCCCCGCUUUGUCUUUGGGGACUCUCGGCCUCACAGUGGCUGACAAGCAAACCUCAGGUGCCACAGGGAAGGUGAUCUUCACCUACAAGUGAGGCUGGAAGGGCAACCCCCCUUGAGCCCCCAGCACCUCUCAUCUCGGCCUCCUUGGCAACGGGAAGCCGAGUUUCCCACGGCACGAUGAGCCCUGGCCCAAGGAAGGAGGGGCUGCCCAAAGCCAGGAAAAUGCAGGCCUGUCUUCACAGACCAACCCGGCUUCCCUGCUGUAUAGACUCCCUGGAGGCCCAGCUGUGGGUAGACGUCACUGCUUGAACCCACAGGCCUUUAGUCCCCCCCGUGCCCCCCCCCCCGCCACAGCCACUCCCAGCUCACACACCGCCCACCCCGUCUCAUCGCUAAGCCACACCCCAGAGGUCAUGUUUCUCCUUUUAUUGGGAAGCAGACACGGGGCACACAAGGUGGGCAGCAGCCCGACGCCUCCUGGCGACACCCAGGACAAUGGUAGCCAGAGUCAAGGUCACCACGGUGGCCAGGCCCAAGCCCACCAUCACCGAGGUGGGGGAGGAGGUGGACCCUUCCACACCGUGGUCACUCGUCUUGCCCAGGAAGAUCAGAGGCCCCACUGUGACAUCUGCUUCAUCUGUCACUGCAAGACCAGACAUCCAGUGGUCACCACAGUCCCCGACCAGGAACCAGCAGGCCUCACUCACCCUCUGCUGGACCCACUGAAGCUCAAUUUCAGAGACAAGGAUCAAGCCCGAAGGGGCCGAAACCCCACCCGACCCAACGGGAGGAAGGGAAUUUGACAAAACCAGAGCUCAGGUCAGCCCGAGGGCUCUUGGCAAAGGCACCCACAUCCAGAAGUCCCUUUUCAUUCUUUAGGGUCCGACGCCCCGCCACCAACUCUGCAAAGGCCCUGAAGUUCCACCACCUUUGCCGAAGCCUUCUGCAGACCCGCACACCUUGGCCACCACCUAGUGGCUGAAAGCGCCAGCAGGGAAACCAAUUUGGUGACUCCAAUGAGCCAGGAGGCACUCCCAGCUGCCUGCCUUCUAUCUGCCCCAACAGAAAAGGGUCCUUUUAUAGUGUCCUGAUUCCAAGGAGGGAACCGCUUUCACCCUCAACUUCUUCCCA